UUAUUGUCUUUAAACAAUGAAAUGUAAAUGUUUAAAGAUUUAUAAAUUGCAGCUCUUUUGCUGACUUUUUUGGUUCUCCAUUGCAUUACACAAAGCGUAGACGCUAUAACCACACAGACUACAAGCAUUUUAUUAAAUUGAAUGAGGGCACGCUUCAGUAGAAAAGAUCAUUAGACUGGAAUUCAGGAUCACGGCGUUUUAACCGCAGAACUGUCGAUCUGGUUGCAUAAACUCCUGCAGGUCACUUCACUUUCUCUGGUCCUGAUUUUUCUCAUCUUUAAGAUGAAAGUAGCAGUGCCUUUCAAGCUUUCCCCGAAGGUUCUAGGAGCGUCUUUGUGGUAGGCUGAACAUUGGUCUUCCAAACAUGCCCAUGUCCUAAUUCCUGGAAACUAUGCGCAUGUCACGUGACAUAACAAAAGGACUUUACAUAUGUAGUUAAGGUUAGGAACCGGAAUGUAAAGGGAGGAGCCUGCAUUAUCCAGCCUGAGCCCUCAAAAGCUCUUUUAGCUAGAGCCGCAGAGACAAGUGGGAUGUCACAGAAAAAGGAGCCAGCAAGAUUCCAACUCAGAGAAGAGCUUGGCCUGCCUUGACUGGAGUGAGGUCAGGGCUUCGUGGAAAACCAUGGCAAAGAAUGCAGAACGGCUUGUGGAAGUAAAACAAGCCCUUGCCUGACAUUUGACGAGGGAAGAAGGACCCCAGUUCCACACAUGAAGAGAGGGUUAUUCCAGCACGGACUUGAAUGAGUCUGAAAGCAGAUUCUUCUCAGAACCUUCUGAUAAAAGCCCAGUUGCCCAACACCUUGGUUUCUGUCUUACGAAGCUCAGAGCUUCUGACCUACAGAAUUGUGCGAUAAUCUGUAAGGGUCGUUGUGGUUUCACCACAUUUGGCAUAUUUUCUUGUUCUAUUAAACUAGAUCUUCAACAUCA